GCGUUCGAGCGGCGGACGGGUGAGUAAUGCAUAGGAAUCUGCCCGGUAGUGGGGGAUAACCUGGGGAAACUCAGGCUAAUACCGCAUACGCCCUACGGGGGAAAGCAGGGGCUCUUCGGACCUUGCGCUAUCGGAUGAGCCUAUGUCGGAUUAGCUAGUUGGUGAGGUAAUGGCUCACCAAGGCGACGAUCCGUAGCUGGUCUGAGAGGAUGAUCAGCCACAUCGGGACUGAGACACGGCCCGAACUCCUACGGGAGGCAGCAGUGGGGAAUAUUGGACAAUGGGCGAAAGCCUGAUCCAGCCAUGCCGCGUGUGUGAAGAAGGCUUUCGGGUUGUAAAGCACUUUCAGUGAGGAAGAACGCCUUGGGGCUAAUACCCCCGAGGGAAGACAUCACUCACAGAAGAAGCACCGGCUAACUCCGUGCCAGCAGCCGCGGUAAUACGGAGGGUGCAAGCGUUAAUCGGAAUUACUGGGCGUAAAGCGCGCGUAGGCGGCGUGAUAAGCCGGUUGUGAAAGCCCCGGGCUCAACCUGGGAACGGCAUCCGGAACUGUCAGGCUAGAGUGCAGGAGAGGAAGGUAGAAUUCCCGGUGUAGCGGUGAAAUGCGUAGAGAUCGGGAGGAAUACCAGUGGCGAAGGCGGCCUUCUGGACUGACACUGACGCUGAGGUGCGAAAGCGUGGGUAGCAAACAGGAUUAGAUACCCUGGUAGUCCACGCCGUAAACGAUGUCGACUAGCCGUUGGGGUCCUAGAGACUUUGUGGCGCAGUUAACGCGAUAAGUCGACCGCCUGGGGAGUACGGCCGCAAGGUUAAAACUCAAAUGAAUUGACGGGGGCCCGCACAAGCGGUGGAGCAUGUGGUUUAAUUCGAUGCAACGCGAAGAACCUUACCUACCCUUGACAUCGUGCGAACUUGGUAGAGAUACCUUGGUGCCUUCGGGAACGCACAGACAGGUGCUGCAUGGCUGUCGUCAGCUCGUGUUGUGAAAUGUUGGGUUAAGUCCCGUAACGAGCGCAACCCUUGUCCCUAUUUGCCAGCGAUUCGGUCGGGAACUCUAGGGAGACUGCCGGUGACAAACCGGAGGAAGGUGGGGACGACGUCAAGUCAUCAUGGCCCUUACGGGUAGGGCUACACACGUGCUACAAUGGCCGGUACAAAGGGUUGCGAAUCCGCGAGGUGGAGCUAAUCCCGAAAAGCCGGUCUCAGUCCGGAUCGGAGUCUGCAACUCGACUCCGUGAAGUCGGAAUCGCUAGUAAUCGUGCAUCAGAA
rnacentral:rRNA from 1 species